GGGUAUCAUCAAGCUGAUUUAUUACAACAGCCCCAUCGCUGCUCCCCUGCGUGCUCGGACAGGGAAAGUGCUUGGUCCAAGUGCAGAUGGACAGACGGACAAAUGACCCUCUACAGCCCGCUGCCUCCAUACGCAGGGCUGUGGCGGUCCCAACAGCAACCAGCGGGAGACAGAUCAAUAGGCGAGUCUCUGGGUGCAGACCGCAGCCAUGAUUUGCAUCUAUAAUUUAUAGGACAACCUUGUAAACGAGAUCCGUGCCCGCAGGAGCCGUCGGGCUCGGGGUAUUUACAGCUCCAGCGUACCUGGCAGGCAUUAAAAGGAAACCGUGCCCAUCGUCUCCGCUGGCGAUGAGAGGUUUGCUGGUCCUGGAGGAUACAGGGAUGCUCCUGCAUCCCCAGCGUUGAUACCCCCGAGGAGGGCAGGGGAAUUGUCCCCAUGGGCCGAAUCUGGCCUUUGGGAAGGGGGAACAUCCCGGGAGACGAUGGUUUAAGAGAACACUCCAGGGCGAUGCUGCUCUGCCCCAGCUCCCAGCCUGCUGCAUUACCCGGGUUGCUCAUUAGUGUGUAGCCAAAUAAUUCCCCAGACAAAUGUGUUUUUUCCACGUCUGGCUGUGAGUCUUGCUGCGAUCCCAGAGUAAAGGCAUUGCUGUGGGGCCGAGUUAUGCUCCGAGUAUUGCUCUUACCCUCAUUGAUCACAUUGCCAACCACGGGUAACAUGGAUCAGGAGCUCUUUUGAAGAAGAGGCUAAGGAAAGGAGGAAGCUCAUCAUGUACCCAAAGAACCCUGAUCUCUGAACGUCUAUAAAAUCCAUACUCUAAAAAUCCUUAUAGAUAUCUACUCUGGCAUAGGAAGUACUGGAGGAAGCAAUCUGCUCUGUGCGUAGAUAGAGGUGCUUAUUUACAAAUGCCACGUUUAUUGUCUGUGCACGGGAGAGGAUGCCCGCCUUGCUGGAGAUGCUCAUUUACCACACAAGGCUGACGGGGUCUUCUGUCUCUCCAAAGUAGAGAAAAGUCAUUUACUGGCAUCAUGAAAACAGACUAAAAAUAGCCGGUUUCUAUGGCUACUGGGGCUGGGAGACUCCUGAGGAACAUGUCUGGGUAGGUCCCUCCGUGAUGAAAUCCAGACAGAGGGAUAAAAGGAAAAGGACAAUAAAAAGAGGUUUAAUGCUUUGCUCCUCAUUCGGCAGCACGAGGGAGAUGCUGCAGGGAUGGUUCUGUGCUUCCCCUCUGCUUGGUCGCUGCGCACUUCUGCAGGGAUCGAUGGGGGUUUAUUAUGGGGGGAAUUAGGCAGAUUUUAGUGGAUUGAGCGAAGCCUCAAAGCAAACACUGAGUUGAAACAGGGCUCUGUUGAGUCAGGGCUCCCUCAGCCUGUCUUCUCCUGCUUGUGCUUGUUGUUGAGGUGCUUUUGCAUAGGGAUGGGGCUGAGCCACAUUUAGGAGCAAUCUGAGCGCUGGGGUCCAGUCCAAGCUCGUUCCUGUAGAACCGAUACCUCUGUAGACAUCUCAGUCUCUCUGGAUUUCUACUGCCAUAAAACAAAGCUCCAAUUUGACCUGUAUUUUUACACUUGUAAUUAACUCCAGAGCAGUGAUUAAUCCCUAGACCACGAGUGUGUUCCCCAUCGGUCACCACAUGCGUGACAGUGCAAAACUAAAGCAACACAUUUUGUGUUUCACCAACUUCCUUUUUGGCCUAAAAAUAAAUCCCAAGGUCCUCGCCAAGGACAGCCCCGGGGCUGGAUCCCUGGGUCCAGGAGGCUGUGCUGAUGUGCAAAAAUAGGAACAGACCAAGGUCAGCAUCUUUCCUAAACAACGUUGAGCUUGCCUAUGCCCACCUGGGGCUGCCUGAAACUGCUUGUUCAUUGUCCUCUGAGUAACAACAGCCUGACAAACCUGGUGUUUUGGGGCAGUGGUUGUGUUCUGAGCUGUGGGAAGAAGGAUGCAAAGGGUGGAUCAAGCCCAGCCAUGAACUGAAGGCUUUAGGAGGCUGCCUGAGAUAUUUCUCCAUGCAAUCGCAGGAGAGCAGCGGGUCAGCACAGGAACAUGGAGCAGCUGGAAGAGCAUCCUGCCUGCGGGAGGGAGGAAGGUGGUUUUGUCUUGUUCUCUUGGCUACCACCUGGGGUGCAGAAAUAGCCCUGCCUGUGCAGACACAGCACUUAAACACAAUGCGCGAUGCCAAGCUGAUGCUUGUGGGGUGUUCGGUGGAAGCUGUCCAUCCUGCUGCAGUGCCUGCCUCAGGAUAGCCUUGGUUAUUUCAUAGGAUCAUAGAAUCCCAGCCUGGUUUGGGUUGGAAGGGACCUUAAAGCUCCUCCAGCUCCAACCCCUGCCACGGGCAGGGACACCUUCCACUAGAGCAGGUUGCUCCAAGCCCCUGUGUCCAACCUGGCCUUGAACACUGCCAGGGAUGGGGCAGCCACAGCUUCUCUGGGCACCCUGUGCCAGCGCCUCAGCACCCUCACAGGGAAGAGCUUCUGCCUCAGAGCUCAUCUCAGUCUCCCCUCUGGCAGGUUAAAGCCAUUCCCCUCGUCCUCUCCAGCAAAACCCUUCAGGAUGUGUUACAAGACAAGAGUUCAAGCUGCAGUUUUCCCCUUAGCUCGCCCCCUCCAAUUGGUGGCAUUCCCUUCCAGUUCACUGCACAAACAUUGCUUCAUCUCUAAGGCAGCACCAGCUCCCCUGGCAGGGCCACCUCCAGCACAGCCCGGCUGUGCCCUGCGCCCCACGCACACGUCCUGGUCCCCAACCCGCCUAUUGUCAUGCAAAUAAACAUCUGUAGGCUCCCUCCGCUCCCAAGGAAGCCCAUAUUUGCAAAGGGGCUUCGCUGCCUCUCUUGGAAGUGAGCCCGAGGGGAUGCUCUGCUUGUUUUCAUCAUUAGAACUGAUUUCUCCAGACCCUGAUCCCUUGCUAUAGGCAGCUCCUCAUCACCUCUCCAUCCCCAGGGCUGGUGCAGGGGUGUCACUGGCUGCUCCCAGCUUCACUCCUUGCUUGGGGUGCACGGGAAGGGGCCGAGCCAUGGGACACUCACCCCAAAGCCCCAGCAGGGACCUGGCCAGGGCGAGAGCAGCCUCCCUCCUCCCUGCAUCCCACCAUCCGCUCCCAGGGAAGUCGGAUGCUUUCCUUAGUGUAAUAGGAUUAAUAAAGGAUUAUUGCUGGUGGGAACAAACUCAUCUUUCAUUUUCCUGAGGAGAGACAGAGUAGGAGGCUCCCUCCACGAACCCUGGGAACCCACAGCGCAGGUUAGGCUCGUGCUGUAACGGGGGGCUUGCAGAGUAACGGAGAGGGCAAGUUGCACCUCACACACUUUAAGGCACCCUUCACCCCAAAGAUGCCACCAGCAAUAGCUUCAAUUUCAGGUUCACUGCUCGGCCAUGGGGGUCCAAGGAAAAGCCUUGGAAAAGCACUUGGAAACCACUGGAUGGACAACUCCAGCUCAUAGCUCAUCACUACUGACAUGAGUAAGAUUUAUCAACUACAGCAUCACUCAGGUCCGGUCGCUUCUGGAGCAGAGAAGCCAAAGUGGGGUGGAAGAGUCAAAGGCAGGUUGUGUGUCACUGGGGAGGGCAAAGGAAACCCUGAGCAACGAGCAGACUUCACUAAUGAGAAUGCCGGGGAGUGUGAAUGUGGGGAGAGAGAAGGAGACAGAGUGUUUGUACUGUGACAAGAGCUGUCAUAUCCCAGCCUUCGCAGGCUCGGAAGCAGACGCUGCCCUGUUCAAAUGCUGCCACUGGGAAGAGAGGAAAAACCCCGUUUGCCCACUGUGGAUCCGUGGAAGUGAGUGGGAUGGGGCUCGGCUCCAGGCAGGUUUGCUACAGAAAAGGCUGGAGGCUGGUGGGAAACAAUGCGGAGAUGAAAGGACCUUCAGCCAUCAAUCCAGAGGUCAAGUCAUUAUGAUGGAGGAAUCAAAAAGCGCCACAAGCCAUUUAUGAACACAAUAGAGGUCAACCCAGGAGCAAACCAUUUUGCUCGGAGCCAUGGUGGAAAACAUAUUGUUGCUUUGAGAGCUACAUCCAUCCAGGGAGGUGGGAAAAUAACUGUAGCUCCAGUGCUUUAACACGCACACCGCACAUGGGAUGUGUUCCAUGCACAUGGAAUGGGUGCGGGUGAGUGGUGCCUGUCUCAGUUUUACAUGCUACAUUCAUUUAUCCAGCUUGGGAACCUCUCGCUGGAGACAGGAAUAUUUGGGACACAGAAAACCUGAACAGGCUCAGAGCUGCUGCCACACUCACAAAUGGCAUGUGCAGCAUGUGCAUAGCGUGUGCACAGCGUGUGCACUGUGCGUGCACCCUGGAGAAGCAUGUGCAUCAUGCACAACAUAUGCACAGCACACACGGCAUGUUUCCAGCUCAUCCAGCCCAGCCCAGGGGACUCCCACCAC
ensembl:lncRNA